AACGAACGUUGGCGGCGCGCCUAACACAUGCAAGUCGAACGAGAAGCCGUAGCAAUACGGUUGUAAAGUGGCAAACGGGUGAGCAAUACAUGGGUAACCUACCCUCGGUGGGGAAUAACUCCCCGAAAGGGGAGCUAAUGCCGACGAUACCCACCAGCCUCAUCAGGGGCUGUUGGAAAGCCGAACCGAGGGUUCGGCGCCUAAGGAUGGGCUCAUGUCCUAUCAGCUUGUUGGCGGGGUAAUGGCCCACCAAGGCUGCGACGGGUAGCUGGUCUGAGAGGACGACCAGCCACACUGGCACUGCGACACGGGCCAGACUCCUACGGGAGGCAGCAGUGAGGAAUAUUGCGCAAUGGGCGAAAGCCUGACGCAGCGACGCCGCGUGGGGGAUGAAGGCCUUCGGGUUGUAAACCCCUUUCAGGAGGGAAGAUGGGACGGGUAACCGUUCGGACGGUACCUCCAGAAGCAGCCACGGCUAACUCUGUGCCAGCCGCCGCCGUAAAAC
rnacentral:rRNA from 1 species